UCUGCCCCUAGAGGCAUGGCAGGUGUGGCUGCUGUGUCACAUGUGCGUCAGUAGGUGGCAGAGAGGAGAGAAGCUAUGCCUGCGCUCAGUAUUCUGACCUGUGGACAUCGGAAUGAUGCCUAACAUCCCCUG